rnacentral:rRNA from 1 species
UACGUAGGGCGCAAGCGUUAUCCGGAAUUAUUGGGCGUAAAGAGCUCGUAGGCGGUUUGUCGCGUCUGCCGUGAAAGUCCGGGGCUCAACUCCGGAUCUGCGGUGGGUACGGGCAGACUAGAGUGAUGUAGGGGAGACUGGAAUUCCUGGUGUAGCGGUGAAAUGCGCAGAUAUCAGGAGGAACACCGAUGGCGAAGGCAGCUUGCUGGGCCUUUUCUGACGCUGAGGAACGAAAGCGUGGGGAGCGAACAGG